CUUCCUACGGGGCGCAGCAGUGAGGAAUAUUGGUCAAUGGGCGGAAGCCUGAACCAGCCAAGUCGCGUGAGGGAUUAAGGCCCUAUGGGUCGUAAACCUCUUUUGUCAGGGAGCAAUGGCGUCCACGUGUGGGCGUAUGGAGAGUACCUGAAGAAAAAGCAUCGGCUAACUCCGUGCCAGCAGCCGCGGUAAUACGGAGGGCGCGAGCGUUAAUCGGAAUUACUGGGCGUAAAGCGCGCGUAGGCUGUUGUGUAAGUUGGGGGUGAAAUCCCACGGCUCAACCGUGGUACAGCCCUUGAUACUGC
rnacentral:rRNA from 1 species